rnacentral:rRNA from 1 species
CAGUCGCCACGGGAAUACGAAGGGGGCUAGCGUUGUUCGGAAUUACUGGGCGUAAAGCGCACGUAGGCGGAUAUUUAAGUCAGGGGUGAAAUCCCGCAGCUCAACUGCGGAACUGCCUUUGAUACUGGGUAUCUUGAGUAUGGAAGAGGUUAGUGGAAUUGCGAGUGUAGAGGUGAAAUUCGUAGAUAUUCGCAGGAACACCAGUGGCGAAGGCGGCUAACUGGUCCAUAACUGACGCUCAGGUGCGAAAGCGUGGGGAGCAAACAGGAUUAGAUACCCGCGUAGUCCCUGUCUCUUAUAC